AUUUAAAUGUCUUUCAUAAUCAAUUAAUAAAUCAUAAUUUACACUUGCUACUUGUCGCUCACACUUAUUGAAGAAAUCUUAUAUUAUAUUAAUAUGAGCAAAGCAAAUGUCGUGAACCCAACGCUUCAAAUUACACAAAUUUCUUGUGGGCUAGCAUUUUGCCUUAUUUUACACACAGCUUCUUCAAGGCUAAGGUUAAAGCAAAUACAGGAAGAAAGUUCCUCAUAGUGAGUUUUUAAUUUUCUGCCAAACUCACUGUGUUAAGAGGACCAAUACCAUCAAAACACUCGAGCUUUAUUUUUUCCACGUAUAAUUUUUUUGACAAGUUCAGAAAGAAGAUGCAUGAUACGGCCCUGCUACCAUCAAUGGAGGACCAUUAUUCCUUUGCCCGCCUCUUCUGCUAUUCCAUGUCAAACUCUCAGGGUAUCAAGGUGAGACUUACCAUGGAGCUCACGAGAAAACAAACUUCUGAAAUACUCUUCAACUCCUAUUCUCUUAAACAAUCCUGGAGUUUGUUUAGUGAUUAAGCUAGGAGCUGGCCCCAUUUCAGCACUGUAUCUUGGAGCAUAAAAUGUUGCAAUCGAGAUUCUUUCCUUUUCCAAGUUCACCGUUGCCCUGUGCUCAAUGCUGCGGUAUAUCCCAUUGCUUAUAAUCUCCAAAAUGUCUCCAAUGUUGAUGACAAAGGCAUUUGGGAGAGGCUCAAUGGAAACCCACUGGCCAUCUUUCUUUAUCUGAAGACCUUCAACUUCAUUGACCUGCAGGAGGAUAGUGAGACCUGAGGCAUCUGAAUGUGAAGUAAGACCAAUGACUUUGUCGGGUUGAGGACAUGGAGGGUAGUAAUUCAUCCUCAUUGACUGAAAUCCAUCUUCAAAAAUCUCUGUCAUUUCCUCUGCCUCUAUUUCUAGUGCUUUAGCCAUCUGUGCUAGGAUAGCCAUGGCUAAAUUUUUCACAUCUGAUGAAUAGGCGUCUAAGGUGUCUCUCAAAGGAAGAGGGAGGUUUGGAAAUAAAUGGGGUUUCCUUGCUUCAACAGGUUGGGUGACCAAGAAGAAGAGGUCACCCCAGUCCAGCUUUUGAUCCUCAGAUACAACAAAGGCUUGCCCAAAACCCUCGACCUCUCCUGGAUAUUGCCAUAACUUUUUCUUCUCUUCCAUUGGGAGGUCGAACAAGUCCUGGACCUCCUUCUUUAUCUUCUCCAAAAGUGAAGACUUCACUCCAUGGUUCACCAGCUGAAAGAAACCCCAGUCUUUGCAGGCAUAAUGAAGCUUCGCCAACUCAGAAUCCAUAGAUUCUUGAGAAAGUAGCCUCUGCAUAUCAAUAACUGGAACCUCAUGUGCUGAAACUCCAUUUUGGAUAAUGGGUUGAUCUCGGUCCUGGCGUAUGUACCUCGGAGGAAUAGUAUCCAUCUGCGAUUUAGCUAAUUCUUGAACACAAGGCACAAGAAGAGAGCCCCCAAGAUUCACCACUUUUGUUGUUUCCAUGGUAUAGGUCAAGAUUUUUUUUGUAGUUUGGUUUCAGAAUCUCUUUGGUUUUAUCUUCAACUUAGGAGGACCAAAUUGCUUAAUUUAUUGCUAGAUUUGGCAAUUGUAGUUGUGGAAUAAUGAGGUGACCACUACCUAUAUAUGCAAUAUGUGUAAUAUUUAUAUAGUGAUUAGCAGCCAACGCAUCGCCAAAAGUCAGACCAAAACCCAUUUCUAGAAACAACAUGUGAUAUCAUUUGCAAGGUUCACCAUAGAUGAUGAACUAAUAAAAUGUUAAAAUGAGAUAUUUUUCUAUCUCCAAGAAAGAGACAUACUGUGCUUUAACUUGAUGUGGGAUUAUAUUUAUAAAUGUUUUGGUUUGACUAUUGUAGGAGCUUCUUUUUCUCCCAUGGGGGUAAUGCUCUAAAGCUGUAAGAUUGAACUUUGUUUAGAUGGUGAUUGUAGGGCAGAGUUUAUCCAGACUUUUUACUAGUGAGAUAAUGAUGAUGAGAUAAUGAUGAUAAUUUCUGGCAAAACCCAAUAAGAAGUUUCUAAACUGUUUGAAAAUAAGAUGCCCAAUUGAAAUUGUAUUUUUGGGUUAGUAAAUUGUUGAAUUGGUGCUAUUGAGUCCUCAUUUUAUUUAACAAAUAUUAUUAGCAAAUUUGAGAUAUUCUAGUCUUUUAAUUAUAUAUA
rnacentral:misc_RNA from 1 species